rnacentral:rRNA from 1 species
UACGUAGGCAGCAAGCGUUGUUCGGAGUUACUGGGCGUAAAGGGUGCGUAGGCGGCUUCUUAAGUUUGGUGUGAAAUCUCCCGGCUCAACUGGGAGGGUGCGCCGAAUACUGAGGGGCUAGAGUGUGGGAGAGGAAAGUGGAAUUCCAGGUGUAGCGGUGAAAUGCGUAGAUAUCUGGAGGAACACCGGUGGUGUAAACGGCUUUCUGGACCAUUUACUGACGCUGAUGCACGAAAAGCGUGGGUAGCAAACAGGG